UAAGGUCCAGUAGCUCAAUGCCAGAGCCAUUUCAUCUUGAAAUUUGGGUUGCAGGUUCAAGUCCUGUCUGGAUCAA